AAUCUUAUUGAAAUUAAACUGCAAAUUUAAAAAUUGAUAAAUUAUAUUUAUCUAAGAUUUC
rnacentral:tRNA from 1 species